rnacentral:rRNA from 1 species
GACGAACGCUGGCGGCGUGCCUAAUACAUGCAAGUCGAACGCAGUGGGGACGGGUGAGUAACACGUGGGUAACCUCCCAUCAGAGGGGAUAACACUUGGAAACAGGUGCUAAACCGAUAUUGGUGGAUGGACCAGUGGUGCAUUAGCUAGUUGGUGCGGUAACGGCUCACCAAGGCCACGAUGCAUAGCUGGUCGUAGAGGGUGAUCGGCCACACUGGGACUGAGACACGGCCCAGACUCCUACGGGAGGCAGCAGUAGGGAAUCUUCGGCAAUGGGCGAAAGUCUGACCGAGCAACGCCGCGUGAGUGAAGAAGGUCUUCGGGUCGUAAACCUCUGUUGUCAGAGAAGCGGUAUCUACCCAGAAAGCCACGGCUAACUACGUGCCAGCAGCCGCGGUAAUUC